rnacentral:rRNA from 1 species
AACAGGAUUAGAUACCCUGGUAGUCCACGCCCUAAACGAUGUCUACUAGUUGUCGGGUCUUAAUUGACUUGGUAACGCAGCUAACGCGUGAAGUAGACCGCCUGGGGAGUACGGUCGCAAGGUUAAAACUCAAAGGAAUUGACGGGGACCCGCACAAGCGGUGGAUGAUGUGGAUUAAUUCGAUGCAACGCGAAAAACCUUACCUACCCUUGACAUGUCAGGAACCCUGGAGAGAUCUGGGGGUGCUCGAAAGAGAGCCUGAACACAGGUGCUGCAUGGCUGUCGUCAGCUCGUGUCGUGAGAUGUUGGGUUAAGUCCCGCAACGAGCGCAACCCUUGUCAUUAGUUGCUACGAAAGGGCACUCUAAUGAGACUGCCGGUGACAAACCGGAGGAAGGUGGGGAUGACGUCAAGUCCUCAUGGCCCUUAUGGGUAGGGCUUCACACGUCAUACAAUGGUACAUACAGAGGGCCGCCAACCCGUGAGGGGGAGCUAAUCCCAGAAAGUGUAUCGUAGUCCGGAUCGCAGUCUGCAACUCGACUGCGUGAAGUUGGAAUCGCUAGUAAUCGCGGAUCAGCAUGUCGCGGUGAAUACGUUCCCGGGUCUUGUACACACCGCCCGUCACACCAUGGGAGCGGGUUUUACCAGAAGUAGGUAGCUUAACCGUAAGGGGGGCGCUUACCACGGUAGGAUUCGUGACUGGGGUGAAGUCGUAACAAGGUAACC